CAGCAGCCGCGGUAACACGAAGGGUGCAAGCGUUACUCGGAAUUACUGGGCGUAAAGCGUGCGUAGGUGGUGGUUUAAGUCCGUUGUGAAAGCCCUGGGCUCAACCUGGGAAUUGCAGUGGAUACUGGGUCACUAGGGUGUGGUAGAGGAUAGUGGAAUUUCCGGUGUAGCAGUGAAAUGCGUAGAGAUCGGAAGGAACAUCUGUGGCGAAGGCGACUAUCUGGGCCAACACUGACACUGAGGCACGAAAGCGUAGGGAGCAAACAGGAUUAGAUACCCCCGUAGUCCCUGUCUCUUAUAC
rnacentral:rRNA from 1 species